rnacentral:rRNA from 1 species
GACGAACGCUGGCGGCGUGCUUAACACAUGCCAGUCGAACGGAAAGGCCCUGCUUUUGUGGGGUGCUCGAGUGGCGAACGGGUGAGUAACACGUGAGUAACCUGCCCUGGACUUUGGGAUAACUUCAGGAAACUGGGGCUAAUACCGGAUAGGAGCUCCUGCUGCAUGGUGGGGGUUGGAAAGUUUCGGCGGGUGGGGAUGGACUCGCGGCUUAUCAGCUUGUUGGUGGGGUAGUGGCUUACCAAGGCUUUGACGGGUAGCCGGCCUGAGAGGGUGACCGGCCACAUUGGGACUGAGGUACGGCCCAGACUCCUACGGGAGGCAGCAGUGGGGAAUAUUGCACAAUGGGCGGAAGCCUGAUGCAGCAACGCCGCGUGCGGGAUGACGGCCUUCGGGUUGUAAACCGCUUUCGCCUGUGACGAAGCGUGAGUGACGGUAAUGGGUAAAGAAGCACCGGCUAACUACGUG